UACGUAGGGGGCAAGCGUUGUCCGGAAUCAUUGGGCGUAAAGAGCGUGUAGGCGGCCCGAUAAGUCCGCUGUGAAAGUCCAGGGCUCAACCCUGGGAUGCCGGUGGAUACUGUCGGGCUCGAGUCCGGAAGAGGAGUGUGGAAUUCCUGGUGUAGCGGUGAAAUGCGCAGAUAUCAGGAGGAACACCGAUGGCGAAGGCAGGUCUCUGGGCCGAUACUGACGCUGAGGAGCGAAAGCGUGGGGAGCGAACAGG
rnacentral:rRNA from 1 species